rnacentral:rRNA from 1 species
CACGUAGGGCGCGAGCGUUGUCCGGAAUUAUUGGGCGUAAAGAGCUCGUAGGCGGCCUGUUGCGUCCGCUGUGAAAGCCCGGGGCUUAACCCCGGGUCGGCAGUGGAUACGGGCAGGCUAGAGGUAGGUAGGGGAGAAUGGAAUUCCCGGUGUAGCGGUGAAAUGCGCAGAUAUCAGGAGGAACACCGGUGGCGAAGGCGGGUCUCUGGGCCGAUAUUGACGCUGAGGAGCGAAAGCGUGGGGAGCAAACAGG